AUUGAACGCUGGCGGUAGGCCUAACACAUGCAAGUCGGGCGGAAACGAUGGAAGCUUGCUUUCAGGCGUCGAGCGGCGGACGGGUGAGUAACGCGUAGGAAUCUGCCUGGUAGUGGGGGAUAGCCCAGAGAAAUUUGGAUUAAUACCGCAUACGCCCUACGGGGGAAAGCAGGGGCUCUUCGGACCUUGCGCUAUCAGAUGAGCUUGCGUUGGAUUAGCUAGUUGGUGGGGUAAUGGCCCACCAAGGCGACGAUCCAUAGCUGGUCUGAGAGGAUGAUCAGCCACACUGGGACUGAGACACGGCCCAGACUCCUACGGGAGGCAGCAGUGGGGAAUAUUGGACAAUGGGCGCAAGCCUGAUCCAGCCAUACCGCGUGUGUGAAGAAGGCCCUUGGGUUGU
rnacentral:rRNA from 1 species